CCUACGGGAGGCAGCAGUGAGGAAUAUUGGUCAAUGGACGAGAGUCUGAACCAGCCACGUAGCGUGCAGGAUGACUGCCCUCUGGGUUGUAAACUUCUUUUAUAUGGGAGUAAAUCGUUCCACGUGUGGGAUGUCGGAUGUACCAUACGAAUAAGGAUCGGCUAACUCCGUGCCAGCAGCCGAGGUAAUCCGGUGUAUCCGAGCGUUAUCCGGGUUUAUUGGGUUUAAAGGGAGCGUGGGUGGAUUGUUUAGUCAGGUGUGUACGUUUGGGGCUCAUACGUAAAAUUGCAGUUGAAACUGGCAGUCUUGAGUACGGUAGAGGUAGGCGGAAUUCGUGGUGUAGCGGUGAAAUGCUUAGAUAUAACGAAGAACUCCGAUGGCGAACGCAGUUCACUGGACUGCAACUGACACUGAGGCUCGAAAGUGUGGGUAUCAAACAGGAUUAGAUACCCCUGUAGUC
rnacentral:rRNA from 1 species